rnacentral:rRNA from 1 species
AUUGAACGCUGGCGGCAGGCCUAACACAUGCAAGUCGAACGAGUGGCGGACGGGUGAGUAAUGUCUGGGAAACUGGCUGAUGGAGGGGGAUAACUACUGGAAACGGUAGCUAAUACCGCAUACCAUCGGAUGUGCCCAAGUGGGAUUAGGUAGUGGGUGGGGUAAAGGCUCACCAAGGCGACGAUCCCUAGCUGGUCUGAGAGGAUGACCAGCCACACUGGGACUGAGACACGGUCCAGACUCCUACGGGAGGCAGCAGUGGGGAAUAUUGCACAAUGGGCGCAACCCUGAUCCAGCCAUCCCGCGUGUGUGAAGAAGGCCUUCGGGUUGUAAAGUACUUUCAGCAGGGAAGCGUUACCCGCAGAAUAAGCACCGGCUAACUACGUGCCAGCAGCCGCGGUAAUAC